rnacentral:rRNA from 1 species
UACAGAGGUCUCAAGCGUUGUUCGGAUUCAUUGGGCGUAAAGGGUGCGUAGGCGGCGCGGUAAGUCGGGUGUGAAAUCUUGGAGCUUAACUCCGAAACUGCAUUCGAUACUGCCGUGCUUGAGGACUGGAGAGGAGACUGGAAUUCCUGGUGUAGCAGUGAAAUGCGUAGAUAUCGAGAGGAACACCAGUGGCGAAGGCGAGUCCCUGGACAACUCCUGACGCUGAGGCACGAAAGCUAGGGGAGCAAACAGG